rnacentral:rRNA from 1 species
AUUGAACGCUGGCGGCAUGCUUUACACAUGCAAGUCGAACGGUAACAGGCCGCAAGGUGCUGACGAGUGGCGAACGGGUGAGUAAUGCAUCGGAACGUGCCCAGUCGUGGGGGAUAACGCAGCGAAAGCUGCGCUAAUACCGCAUACGAUCUAUGGAUGAAAGCGGGGGACCGUAAGGCCUCGCGCGAUUGGAGCGGCCGAUGUCAGAUAGGUAGUUGGUGGGGUAAAGGCUCACCAAGCCAACGAUCUGUAGCUGGUCUGAGAGGACGACCAGCCACACUGGGACUGAGACACGGCCCAGAAUCCUACGGGAGGCAGCAGUGGGGAAUUUUGGACAAUGGGCGCAAGCCUGAUCCAGCAAUGCCGCGUGCAGGAAGAAGGCCUUCGGGUUGUAAACUGCUUUUGUACGGAACGAAACGGCUCUGGUUAAUACCUGGGGCUAAUGACGGUACCGUAAGAAUAAGCACCGGCUAACUACGUGCCAGCCGCCGCCGUAA